AGACCGAAAAUUCGAAACGACGGCGUUUAAGGCUUGCGUGAAAGGUGAAACUUCACGUUGGAUUUAAGAUUCGUAAACGUUGCCGUCAAUUUGCCGGAAUAAGAAAAUCGAGAUAUCGCCACAUGUCACACACUCACACAAUGAUGACUCCUUCGGAAAAACGUUAAUGUGACGGCUCCGUUCUCCAUCACCGCCGUUGACGUGUCCCCUUUUUCCCUUUCAUUCCUUCGUUUCCUAAAUCACCGUUUCUUCCCUCUCUCUCUCUCUCUCUCUCUCUCUCUGUCUGUGAAUUUUGUUCAUUUCACAGAACAGUUAGGUUUCUUUUGCUUUACUCACAAACCAAAAGCAUAACUUCACUUCAUUUCACUGGCUAAGGUGUAGUUUAGCUGUAACAUUAAUAAUACAUUCAGCUGGAAAAAUUUGGUCCCCUUCAUGUGCCUAUUGUUGCGUGCAUUGUUGGAAAAAACUGAAUUAGAGAGAUGGCUAUUGCUGGUGUGCAUAGUGUGGCUGUGAUUGACUCUACACUUCUUAGGGAGUCUCAUUCUCAGUUAUCAGGUAGGCGAGGGGAUGGAGGAGGGAGGGGAGGUGCCCGUUCAUCUUCCCUCUUGCAAAUGUGGCGAGAAAUCGAGGAUGAACACAUGGCGGGUCAAGUUCAGGGGAGGUCUGGGGAGUUGUUAAUUAGGCAGAGGAGUGAUGGAUUGAUCUCGGACCUGUCGCAGGAUGAUGCCUCUCGGAGAGGAGAAGGUGAAGGGCAUAUGAUAGAAGAUGCAAUUUCGGGUGAGAAUGAAUCAGAAACAUGGUCACAGUCACAAAGUCAGAAUGAUUCUCGUGACGAUGAACACGAGGGUUUAGGCAAUUCU